GGCAGUGUGGCAUAGUGGUAAGGAGCAGAGCAUGUAACCGUGAGGUUGCAGGUUCGAUUCCUUGCUUGGGUA